rnacentral:misc_RNA from 1 species
GCUUUCUUUGCUCUAUUGUAGAGUUGAUCUGUGUAUUGUGGAGGAAUGGUAUCCCUAGGGCAUAAGAGCCAGCAUGCAUGUUGUGGCUACUUCUUUUAGCUAUAAGAGGGUGAGAUGCCCAUUGGGUUCUGCCUUUCUUUCACCUUAAGUCGCUAGUAGUUUUCAACUAUCUAACCAUCGUGGAUUUGAUGGGUGAUUGGACAAAGGAUGUUCUUCUUCUGCCUGGCAUAGGCUUGCUCCUCGAAUAUAGCUUCAAAUAAGGAGGUUCAUGUACUAUUUCUUGAGUCUUCUAUCCGCAAGGGAAGCGAUGGUGGCGGUGUUGGUGUUGUCAGAA